rnacentral:rRNA from 1 species
GAUGAACGCUGGCGGCGUGCCUAAUACAUGCAAGUCGAGCGAACAGACGAGGAGCUUGCUCCUUUGACGUUAGCGGCGGACGGGUGAGUAACACGUGGGUAACCUACCUAUCAGACUGGGAUAACUUCGGGAAACCGGAGCUAAUACCGGAUAAUAUUUCGAACCGCAUGGUUCGAUAGUGAAAGAUGGCUUUGCUAUCACUUAUCGAUGGACCUGCGCCGUAUUAGCUAGUUGGUAUGGUAACGGCUUACCAAGGCAACGAGACGUAGCCGACCUGAGAGGGGGAUCGGCCACACUGGAACUGAGGCACGGUCCAGACUCCUACGGGAGGCAGCAGUAGGGAGUCUUCCGCAAGGGGCGAAAGCCUGACGGAGCAAGGCCGCGUGAUUGAUGAAGGUCUUCGGAUCGUAGAACUCUGUUAUGAGGGAAGAACAAACGUGUAAGGAACUGUGCACGUCUUGACGGUACCUAAUCAGAAAGCCACGGCUAACUACGUG